rnacentral:lncRNA from 10 species
GAUUUCAAGUCCAACCAUAGGCUCCUGAUUACGGGGACCCCUCUUCAGAAUUCCCUCAAAGAGCUCUGGUCCUUGCUGCACUUUAUUAUGCCGGAGAAGGCAGCAGACUUUUUCUAAAGAAUCUGAUAGUAUGCCGGGCGUGGUGGCUCACGCCUGUAAUCCCAGCACUUUGGGAGGCUGAGGUGGGCAGAUCACGAGGUCAGGAGAUCGAGACCAUCCUGGCUAACACG